AAUAUUGGGCAAUGGGCGAAAGCCUGCCCCAGCCACGCCGCGUGAGUGAUGAAGGCCUUCGGGUCGUAAAGCUCUGUGGGGAGGGACGAACAAGCUGCGUAUUAACACUACGUGGACCUGACGGUACCUCCUUAGCAAGCACCGGCUAACCCUGUGCCAGCAGCCGCGGUAAUACAGGGGGUGCAAACGUUGCUCGGAAUUAUUGGGCGUAAAGCGCGCGUAGGCGGUUACUUAAGUCGGAUGUGAAAGCCCUUGGCUCAACUGAGGAAGUGCACCCGAAACUGAGUAGCUUGAGUACGAAAGAGGGUCGCGGAAUUCCCGGUGUAGAGGUGAAAUUCGUAGAUAUCGGGAGGAACACCGGUGGCGAAGGCGGCGACCUGGGUCGAUACUGACGCUGAGGCGCGAAAGCGUGGGGAGCAAAC
rnacentral:rRNA from 1 species